CAAUCAAAGGAAAAUUCCAUUUGGAAUGUUACCGGGAAACAGUUGAAGGCAAGAGCCAACUGCUGACUGAUUUCUGGGCUUCUUGGCUGAUGGUGGUGAAUUUGAAGGAAGAAGCUGGGUUUAUCUCUGGGACUUGGGAUAAUAAACCUGGAGGUGGCCUGGCUGAUUUGAAGGUAGAAGGAGGACAAGAGUCCAUAUAUCUCUCUCCGACUUGCUCUGUUUCAUGAUUAUAUGUGAAUAUACAUAACUUCCAGUGUGUCUGCUCCAUUGCAGUUUUUCCACUUUUUGAAGAGAGAAGACUGACUAGGAAACUUUUCUCUUUCCAGAACGAGGCUUGCUAUGUUAUUCCUUCUUUUCUCUUCUGAAAAGUAAAAGUGAGUCCAGAAGUGACCUUGUCUGUAAAGCUUCCUUUUAUAGAGCACAAAUAAAGACAGUUAGUUACUCCA
rnacentral:lncRNA from 1 species